rnacentral:lncRNA from 1 species
AUGUUCUUGGUCACCUAGCAGAGCCCACCAUGUCCAGCCUUUGUCCUCAACAGGGGCCACUCUGGCAGUGGCCUCAUCCUGGGUCAGGUAAGAGAGGGCAGGUGGAGUCCCUCCUUCAGUGGCACCUAGCUAGGGACUGCCUCUUGCCCCCUUUGCAGUACGGAGGACCUGAAGAGCAACAGCCACCACCAUCUUGGACCCUUAAAGCCCCUGAUCAGUAUGUAAGCCUGGCAGGAUACAAGAGGGACUGGUAAAGUGGAUUCCACAGUCUUUCUUGAAUGCU